rnacentral:rRNA from 1 species
CCAGACUCCUACGGGAGGCAGCAGUGAGGAAUAUUGGUCAAUGGGCGGAAGCCUGAACCAGCCAAGUCGCGUGAGGGAAGAAGGCCCUGCGGGUCGCAGACCUCUUUGGACGGGGAGCAAGGCCGCCGACGUGUCGGCGGAAGGAGAGUACCCGUAGAACAAGCAUCGGCUAACUCCGUGCCAGCAGCCGCGGUAAUACGGAGGAUGCGAGCGUUAUCCGGAUUUAUUGGGCGUAAAGCGUUCGUAGGCGGCAAGGUAAGUCUGAUGUUAAAGCCCGGGGCUCAACUCCGGUUCGGCAUUGGAUACUAUCUAGCUAGAAUGUGGUAGAGGUAAAGGGAAUUCCUGGUGUAGCGGUGAAAUGCGUAGAUAUCAGGAGGAACAUCGGUGGCGAAAGCGCUUUACUGGACCAUUAUUGACGCUGAGGAACGAAAGCCAGGGGAGCAAAUGGGAUUAGAUACCCGGGUAAG